rnacentral:rRNA from 1 species
UACACUCCUGCGGGAGGCAGCAGUGGGGAAUAUUGGACAAUGGGCGUAAGCCUGAUCCAGCCAUGCCGCGUGAGUGAUGAAGGCCCUAGGGUUGUAAAGCUCUUUCACCGGUGAAGAUAAUGACGGUAACCGGAGAAGAAGCCCCGGCUAACUUCGUGCCAGCAGCCGCGGUAAUACGAAGGGGGCUAGCGUUGUUCGGAUUUACUGGGCGUAAAGCGCACGUAGGCGGACUAUUAAGUCAGGGGUGAAAUCCCGGGGCUCAACCCCGGAACUGCCUUUGAUACUGGUAGUCUUGAGUUCGAGAGAGGUGAGUGGAAUUCCGAGUGUAGGGGUGAAAUUCGUAGAUAUUCGGAGGAACACCAGUGGCGAAGGCGGCUCACUGGCUCGAUACUGACGCUGAGGUGCGAAAGCGUGGGGAGCAAACAGGAUUAGAAACCCUGGUAGUCCCAUGA